UCCAGAUGGAGAGCCUCAAAUUGUCGGCAGAUUUUUUGAAAUUCCCCUGGAAUUUGUAUUGGUGAUGCAGAGUUUGGUGCAGACUGACAAUUUUCAUGAGGUCACAGUUCACUCUUCAGUGAAUAACCCCAUGGAGGGCAGGGCAGACCAAAUAAGAAAUGGAAUGAAAAAAUGAAGAUGGGCACUGCAUCUGUGAUGGGAUAAAUCAGCCAGUCCCCUUUUCUUCUCUUUUUGGUUCUUCAGUACCUUCAAAGGGAGCCAUAAGUAAAGCACAAACAGAAUCAGCUUUCAAAAGCUCCCUGGCUUCCCACCUCUGCUGUGGGCUUCCUGUGGGAAACAGGGAACCGCUGGCCUGCGGGAGAGGAAUCAACUAUUUCCCAGAGCCACUGGGAGAGCACUU